AUACGUAGGGGGCGAGCGUUGUCCGGAAUGAUUGGGCGUAAAGGGCGCGUAGGCGGCCCGGUAAGUCUGGAGUGAAAGUCCUGUUUUUAAGAUGGGAAUUGCUUUGGAUACUGUCGGGCUUGAGUGCAGGAGAGGUAAGUGGAAUUCCCAGUGUAGCGGUGAAAUGCGUAGAGAUUGGGAGGAACACCAGUGGCGAAGGCGACUUACUGGACUGUAACUGACGCUGAGGCGCGAAAGUGUGGGGAGCAAACAGGAUUAGAUACCCUGGUAGUCCACGCAGUAAACGAUGAAUGCUAGGUGUAGGGGGUAUCGACCCCUUCUGUGCCGCAGUCAACACAAUAAGCAUUCCGCCUGGGGAGUACGGCCGCAAGGUUGAAACUCAAAUGAAUUGGCGGGGG
rnacentral:rRNA from 1 species